CCGUAGCUCAGUCGGUAGAGCAGCUGACUCUUAAUCAGCGGGCCGAAGGUUCGAAUCCUUCCGGGUG
rnacentral:tRNA from 1 species